GCAGUGGUGGUUCAGGGUAGAAUUCUCGCCUUCCACGCAGGAGACCCGGGUUCGAUUCCCAGCCAGUGCA
rnacentral:tRNA from 1 species